GCAUUUUUUUAUUUUCCAAGCGGCGUUCUUACUGAAUAGAAGCGCAAAUUUUGAAUCCGAGAUAGAUGAAUAGUUUCAAAAUAAAUUUACAGCAAAUGGAUCCGAGCUAGGUGGGUUUAUUCAACAUAAUUAUAGAUGGUGCAACAUAUGGGUCCGAGCUAGGUGGAUCCAUUAAACGUGGGAAUACAACUAAAUCCGAAUUAGAUAAAAAGAUUCAGCGUGGGAAUAUAAGAAUUAAAUCUGAACUAGGUGGACUCUUUAAACGAGGAGGCAUUAAAAAUGAAUCCGAGUUAGGUGGAUUCAUUCAACAUAAUGAUACAUGCUACAUAUGGAUCCGAGCUAGGUGGAUCCAUUCAACGUGGGAAUACAACUAAAUCCGAAUUAGAUAAAAAGAUUCAGCGUGGGAAUAUUAGAAUUAUUUCUGAACUAGAUGGACUCUUUAAACGAGGAGGCAUUAAAAAUGAAUCCGAGCUAGGUGGAUUCAUUCAACAUAAUGAUACAUGCUACAUAUGGAUCCGAGCUAGGUGGAUCCAUUCAACGUGGGAAUACAACUAAAUCCGAAUUAGAUAAAAACAUUCAGCGUGGGAAUAUAACAAUUGAAUUUGAGCUAAAUGGAUCCUUUAAACGAAAGGAGGCAUUAAAAAUGGAUCCGAGCCAGGUGGAUCCUUUAAAGAUAUAAUUACAAUAAUUCUGCCAUUCAAAACUCACCAGUACAAAUGUCAAAGUGUGGCUCAUAACAGUUACAGAUUAUAGAGAAUCUUACACAGAAGGAUCUUACAGAUUUUUAGAGGUUGUAAAGAUAGAGAAAGGCUAGGCUUUAUAGUUAUAUAGGCUUUAUAGUUAUAAAAACUAUAUUAGUUGGUCGAUAAUUUUCCAGAGGUCUUAUAGUGUUAUAAAGAUUCAAUUACUUCUUCAAGUUAUUCUUCUGGAGUUACAUUGAAAAAGUUGCAUCAAUCUUGUUUAAUUGUUUAUAUUGCUGUAAUUGUUCUGUUCUCGUACAUACUGCUUUGAAAUAUAGAUCGAUAAGAAGCUUGUAUUUUUACACAAAUUGAAAAUUAUUCUAAACAUAUGCUUAAAUUUAUGAACUCCUGGCACCAAAAACUUUUUUAAUUAAAAAGAGAACCUUUUCUACUUUGUAUAAAACACGAGU